GAGGGAAAUACUGUGGGAGUAAGCAAGAGGCAGAAAGAACAGGCAGAAGUGAGUUAGUGGAAGAAUGACGCCAUGCUGAUUAGACUAAGGCAGCAGAGUCCCAGUGGGAUCUCCCCAUCUCUGACAGAUGUACGGCAUCUCAGUGGGAUCAAACAAAAGCAGCAGGCAGACUUUCAGCUCAGAGCAGCUGGGAGAUCAUGAAAAUAACAUCCAAGCCACUGCUGUGUGACUGCUUCACACGGGUGUCACCUCUUCAUAUGUUUGAGGUUCUCGGGUCCCUCACCCCUGACUCCUGACAGAGGAUGGAUUCUUCAGAGCUGUAUCUUGUCUUGUGUCCCAGGCAGAGAGGAAUUAUCUGUUUCUGUAGAUCACAGGCUGACUGAGGCCUGUCGCCUCAAAGAUAACACUCAGGUAAAUGUUGGUACUGUUGCUCUUUCAAUGCCAAUCAUUAUCUCUGCAUACACAGAAGCACA
rnacentral:lncRNA from 1 species